CAUCUCUCUGCCCAGUUCUUCUUUUUUUAGGACUCCUCUCCUUCUUGUUGUCGAGAUGUGGAUUUACAAACUCUUACUGACACUCUUCAUCCUGUCCUGUCCCGAGGGGAGAAGAAACGCCCUGCAGGACUACCAGAGGACGGAUGGCGUGCGUCUGUUGGUCACGCCCCCCAGCCCCUCCCACCUAACCAAAACCAGGAAGAUCAGCAUUGCCAAGUGUGCUCGAAUCUGCAGCCGCAACAAAAAACUCCCCUUCACCUGCAGAGCCUUCCUCUACGAUCACCAAAACAGGAAAUGCCAGUGGUUGUCUUUUGACCGGAACUCGCCAGUCGCCCAAUUGCACAACGACGUCAACUUCCAGCUUCAUCAAAAGAAAGAUUAUGUACGUGAGUGUAUCGUGGGUACAGGUCAGAGCUACAGGGGUCGAAGGUCGGUGACAGUCGCUGGGAUCCAGUGCCAGGCAUGGGCUUCCAAUAUUCCUCACGAGCACAAAUUCACAUCCAGGCGCUUCAGGAAGAAGGACCUCAGGGAGAACUACUGUCGUAACCCAGAUAACUCCACCGCCGGACCAUGGUGCUUCACUACGGACCCACGGCCACACCUGAGACACCAGGAGUGUGCCAUACCACAGUGUUCCCAGGUGGAGUGCAUGCAUUGCAAUGGUGAGGAUUACAGGGGACCCAUGGACCACACAGAGAGUGGAAAAGAAUGCCAACGUUGGGACCUGGGCGAGCCACACAAUCACACCUACCAUCCUGACAGGUAUCCCAACAAGGGCCUUGACGAUAACUACUGCAGGAAUCCAGAUGGACGCCACAGACCAUGGUGCUUUACCACGGACCCGAACACAGGAUGGGAGUACUGUAACAUCAAAGUUUGUGACACGCCUCUUAAAAGAACGACGGUGGAAACCAGCGAGUGCUACCAGGGGAAGGGAGAAGCUUACAGGGGGACGGUGGACAUGACUCCCACAGGGCUCACCUGCCAACGCUGGGACUCUCAGUACCCCCACAACCACUCCUUCAUCCCGCAGGCAUACACUUGCAAGGAUCUGAGGGAAAACUACUGUCGGAACCCAGAUGGCCGACAAUCCCCGUGGUGCUUCACGACGGACCCGAGAGUCCGCAUAAUGUUGUGCACCAACAUCCCCCAGUGUGGCUCCCAGAACAAGCCCGAUUGUUACGAAGGCUUCGGGGAAAAAUACCGAGGAGAGCAAUCCAGGACGAGAUCAAACCUGCCCUGCGCUCCCUGGAGGGAACGCAGCAACAGCGGCGAAAGGGGCAUGGCGGUGGCAAGCCUGGAGAGGAACUACUGCAGAAACCCUGAUAAGGACAAACACGGACCGUGGUGUUACACCAACAAUUCCGCCAUACGCUGGGACUACUGCAAUGUCAAACCAUGUAAUGCUUCCCAGAGCGUCAUUCCAGUGGGUGAGCUGUCCUCCGUGGGUUGUUUUGUCCAUAAGAGGACCAGAAUUGUCGGCGGGGGUCCGGUGAGCGUAUCUGACGGCAGCUGGAUGGUCAGCAUACAAAAAGGGUGGACGCACUGGUGUGGGGGGUCACUAAUACGAGAAGAGUGGGUACUCACCGACAGGCAGUGUUUUUCCUCAUGUGUUCCAGACCUGAGUGAGUAUCGAGUUUGGCUGGGAGUGUCGAACAUUGAAGAGUCUGAUUGGUCAACAAGACAGGAAGUCCGUAUAGCGCAAGUCAUUUGUGGCCCGGAAGGUUCCAGUUUGGCCCUAAUUAGGCUUUCCGAACCUGCCCUUCCUGCAGACAACGUCCACACCAUCCAGCUGCCUGUGGAUGGCUGUUCCAUCCCAGAGGGUGCCAUUUGUAAAAUGUAUGGAUGGGGAGAGACCAAAGGCACCGGCCAUGAUGGCCUCCUAAAAGCAGUCAGCCUGCCCAUCGUGAGCAAUGACAAGUGCCGAGAGUUGCACAGAGGAAGUCUCCACAUCACCAACUCCAAAAUGUGUGCAGGAGGCAAGAGAAACGAGGGCGUGUGUGAGAGGGAUUAUGGGGGCCCACUGGUGUGUCAGGACGGCGAGAUCAAGGUCAUUGUCGGCGUGAGCAUCCACGGCAGAGGCUGCGCACGCGCCAACAGACCCGGCAUCUUCAUCAACGUGCCCUUCUACGCGCAGUGGAUCUACAAAGUCUUCAAAUAUUACCCUGAGCCGGAGCUGAGCACGGAAUAACACGCUGGAUUAAAACCAACAUUGCACCAGCAACUGCAGCAGAACUCUCAGGAGGACUCAUCAGCUUUUUGGAUUGCCUCUUAAUAGAUGAGGACCCAGUCACGCAAUUGGGCUCCCGAUACCGCUGGAUAAUUGGCAGGCAAACGGACUAGUUUCCCAGCAGGCACAAGACUUUGAGACAACGUUGAUUACACAUACAUGUCCUUUAAAACUGACUUCCAAAUUGGGAAUUUGAGACAACGUUGAUGUCUACUGUUGGAUCCACGUUGUAGGUUGGGAAAUGACCCAAAUUCAAUGGUCAAAUCAACCUUUAGAACCCAACAUUGAUUAUAGGUCGUCCAGAAGCAUGUUGUUUCAACGUUGUGUUUGUGUUGUAGAAUAUUUGUUCGGAAAUGACCAAAUUUCAAUGUUCAAAUCAACGUCAGAACCCAACAUUGAUUAAAUGUCGUCAAAAGGCAUGUUGAGUGUUGAAUUUGGGUUG